GGUGCAGACAACCCAAAUGUCCCUCAGUGGAUGAAUGGAGAAACAAAACAUGGCACACCCACACAAUGGAAUGCUCUUCAGCCAUAGAUGGAAUGAAGUACUGCCCCACGCUACAGCAUGGACCAACCUCGAAGACAUCAUGCUGCGUGAAAGAAGUCAGCCAGAAAAGGCCAUAUACUUGCUGCAGAGUCAUGAUUAAGCAGAUCUGUCACUAAGUGAGGAUUUUGUUGUGCUUUUUGAAUGCAGUGCCUAGGUAUGUUCAUUUAUUUUUCUUUCAAGUUUGUAUUGAACGACGUAUUAUAUCUCACAUGGUAUGUCUCCUGUGCCCCACUGCCUGGGGCUCCCUGUCCCUCUCCACUUGCUUUCUUUUUUCCCAUUGCACUUACUUAUCACUACCCAACACAUUGGACAUGCAUUUGGCAUGCUUGGUUUUAUGUGUCAAACUUGGCUAAGCUAUAAGAUCCAGUUAUUUUUUUUUAUUUUUUCAUUUUUAUUUUUGAGAUGGAGUCUCGCUUUGUGGCCCAGGCUAG
rnacentral:lncRNA from 1 species